CCGAGCUUCUACAGCAGAUGACUUCCGUCUGUAGCAUCAGCGCCCAAGGCAUCCGAUAAUAGUUGACUCGUCAGCAACCUCAGAAACAUUCGAGCUUCUCUUGGAUUGUUGACACAGAAAGCCAUUCCGCUCCAUCAGACAUCCCAGUCGAGCUUCAGCCAUCAGACCUGAACUCUUUGGCAAGUCACAACAAUGGCCACUACCCCAC
rnacentral:lncRNA from 1 species